GAUGAACGCUGGCGGCGUGCCUAAUACAUGCAAGUCGAGCGAACAGACGAGGAGCUUGCUCCUCUGACGUUAACGGCGGACGGGUGAGUAACACGUGGAUAACCUACCUAUAAGACUGGGAUAACUUCGGGAAACCGGAGCUAAUACCGGAUAAUAUAUUGAACCGCAUGGUUCAAUAGUGAAAGACGGUUUUGCUGUCACUUAUAGAUUGAUCCGCGCCGCAUUAGCUAGUUGGUAAGGUAACGGCUUACCAAGGCAACGAUGCGUAGCCGACCUGAGAGGGUGAUCGGCCACACUGGAACUGAGACACGGUCCAGACUCCUACGGGAGGCAGCAGUAGGGAAUCUUCCGCAAUGGGCGAAAGCCUGACGGAGCAACGCCGCGUGAGUGAUGAAGGUCUUCGGAUCGUAAAACUCUGUUAUUAGGGAAGAACAAAUGUGUAAGUAACUAUGCACGUCUUGACGGUACCUAAUCAGAAAGCCACGGCUAACUACGUG
rnacentral:rRNA from 1 species